AAACAAACCCCAAAAGUCUAGAAUGAGAAUAUUUCUAAGCAUUUUUCAGUAAUGCAAUUCAGCAACUUAAAAUAUCCAUAUAAGUUAAGAUACAGCUCCCUGCUCAGCCAAACCAUGACUAAAUAGCAGACAUCUUGUUCCCUCUGAUUCACAGAGUACAUCUUGAACUUUCUAUGCAUUUAUUAUCUGAUGUAUUAUAUGUGAUGAAACUGGUUUUAGCUGUUUAUACAAGUAUGGUAGGGAAUGCAGAAUUCUAAAAAUUUCCAGGACAGUUUCUGGAACAAAGAUUAUUUCCUGAAUCAAUGGCUAAGGAUUCAGACCUAUUCAGAGUACAGGUGGCCUUCCCUCAAAAAAAUGAAACCAAAAUACUAAGUGCUUCACCUUGCAGGUGUAGUUUAAUGUAUUGCAAACAUCGAUUAAAGAAUGAAUACUUACCUAAACCAAGGCUUUAAGAGAGAUAUUUUCCUUUAUAAUGUCCACAAUUGUCAAUGCUACACACAACCAAUAUAACUACUUAAAAGAAUAUUAUUGUCCAAAAUGAGAUUUAAGAAAAGAAGCAGACAUUAAAGAAAACAAAAUACAAAGAAAAGUUACCAAAGAAAGACAAUUUUUUUUAAUCACUAGGCUGCUCAAUAACAUUAAUUUCUAGAAUAAAUUAUCUUUACCUGAACGAUUCAUCGUACUUAAGCUUGUACUGGAUAUUAAAUGACUUUCUCUUUAUUAAUUUCUUCUUUGGUUAUCAUUCCUGGCUGUAGUAAUUAUUUCUGCACAGCAAAUAAACACACAGCAAUACACACGGUGAAAUAAUCACAGAGGAGCCAAAAAGUAAUGAAACCUUUCACCACAGAAGUAAAGGAAAAAGGAAUUCCAAAUUACUUGGCAUUUUGGGGAAUGCAGGAUAUCACUUGCAGAACUUCUCUAUAACAGCAGGAAACCUUCAAAAAGUGUAACCCAUCCAGCAGAAAGUCCGAAAAGCAAAGCAAUGACGCUGAGGUCUUCUUGUGUCUUCUAGAAUAUCCUAAUAACAAGUUCUUCAGUGAAAAGUAGAGCACUUUAAGUAUUUCACUAAGACCUAGAAAAGACAGGGCAAAGUUAAGAGAAGAGCAGCCUACCACUGUUCUGUUGGAGCUGUGCCUUAAAUAUUUAAGGAGGUUACAUCUGAAGGUUUAAAAAAGAAUAUAUGAGUGGUGCAGAUUGCUAGAUGAAGGAGAAGUAUCAUGUUCCCUGCAUACAAAUGCAAUGCUGAAUUUUACAUUAAUAUAGGGCUUUCUAGAAAAUAUAUAAGCAGCACUAAAGAACUUUAUUUAAAUAUCUGCAUUGCUUAAAUCAAAACCAAGUAGGAAUCCUUUUGAUGAAUAAGAAACUAAUUAGCCAAAAAAGAUUAACAAAUCAAGUAGCAUAUUUUCCUAAUACUUAAAUUAUUUUUGGACUAGUAUAUUUGUCAAUAGCCAGAACACACAGCAUUUCUUUGACAUACUCUGAACUCCUUUCAAUUUGAUAGACCCAAAUCCAACAUUCAGUUCAACCUUCUGCCUCUCUUUUUCUCACUUCCCAACACAACCAACUGCACAAACAGAGAUUUGCUAGGUGUUCCUUGAAAAUAAAUUUUAAAAACAGUCCAAAUAUAACCUACAGUGAGUUAUUGUAGGACUUCACAGAUGCCCAGGAUGAACACAUGUCAUGGUACCAUGGACAACUCCUACAGUAUCAGAAAAGAACAGCACAGGGGUUUUUCUGUAAUGCUGACAAAAUCCUUCCCUGAUUAGCUGACCUUUCUUUCCAAUUACACAACCUAACAUUAACACUGAAAUAUACAUGGUUGUUGAGCUUGAGUUAUUCAGCUAGAACCUAAUUAAACUAUUCCCAGUUCAGAAACUAGAAAAAAGUAUAUUCGUAUAGGACAUCCUAACUGUCUGAUGUUGUACAGCGGAGCACAGAGGUCUCUGGAUGUUACUGUGCAGAAGGCUUGGGAAGAACACAGAACUCAGUAAAAUAAAUCAAACAUUCUAUCUCUGCUAGAGGUGUAAUAAUUUCAAUAUAAGGGCACGCUUCUUUACAAUCCACUCUCUACAUUCUACUAUACUGAAAUAAAUCAGCCCUAACAAGUGCCAGUGAUUCCAUGUAAAUACAUACCUUGUAGUUUGCUCAGUAGUGGAACACAAAGAUGUUUUAGUCUUAUUAAAUUCCUUAUGGGUUUGGGGUUUUUUUUACCCUGUUUUCUGGCACUGGAUUCAUGUCCGGUGUUCUGGAAAACUCAGCAUCUGAAUCAUCUUUGACUGUAAAGAAACAAGAUAAAUGUAGCAGGAUAUGAUCAUAAUAUUAAAUAUUUAUUACUUGGUGGAAUCACGAUUUUUCCCUUUCCUGUGAAAAUACUACACCUGCAGGAAGAUGUUUAAUUGUUCCCAAGAUUUACAUAUGCUUAGAAAAUACACGAAAAUGUCACCAGUAGCUUCUAGUGAGGAAAGCACUCAUUAUCAUCACUUCUUCUAAUUCUGCAAGGCAAACUGAGGUCUGCUGGCUGAGUCAGUCUGCAGGUAUUUCCCUACUUACUUGGAAGUGCACAGAAUCCAGAGAUAUAUUCUACUGCCUCCUCUGUAAAACACGUUGACUUUUAUUCAUGACAACAGUGGUCCUGAAUUUCAUUUUUAAUUUAAUAUACUUAGUGAGUUUGGAGUCUCUAAACUCUAUAUUCAGUUAUUUAAUCUGAAAUCACAGCCUAAAAUAAACUGUGUUAAUCAGAGGAGGUGGCAGAGGCUGAAGAACUGUGAAUGGUCUGUUUGCAUUGCUCACUCUUCUGCUGAAGAAUUUCUCCUCCCCACCUCACUGUCAGGCUCCAGUGAGAAACCUGACUCUCUUCAUCACAUAUUUCUGUGUAUAAAGAACCUUAAGAAAACUGUAAAAUACUUCUACAUCAUUGGGGAAGGGAGAGGCAAGGACAGUGGGCAAGGCUUUCAACUUCUAUGUGUGUCUAUUAAAGUUAGCUAACUGAGCAAUACUGGCAAAAGCAGCUUCUGGAUUUAAAAAGCUCUGGUCUCUGCUCAAAACCAUUUUUUUUUUUUUGUAAAAUAUUACCCAGUUUCCAAGGGUCUGUGACAAGCUGCCUUAUCCCAUAGGCUUCCCUCGCUGAACGCAGGGCUUGAGCUCCAAGUUUCCAUUCCCGGUCCUGUCAGGCUGGAUGACAAAAGAGACACUGCACAGCUGUUUAUUCCAGUGCCACUGGCUCCCAGAAAACAACCAACAGAGCCAUCCUCAUGCAAUAUUUCCUGUUCUCCUCAAACUUCCCUCGAAUUCCAUCACCAAAACAGCUCCCAGCAGAGCCACAGAGCUCCAAGGUGUCUCACACCUAGAGCUGCCUCUGUGUCCCAUACAUCAGGCUCAGCUUUUCAGCAACAAAACAGUUGUGAGAUAGAAAGGACACAGAAAUUGAUUAUUUUUUUCCUCUUGAUAUUAAUGUUUUAGUGUUUUUAUAAUUUUUUUUUAAUCAAGCUUCCUCAAUUAUCACUGUCUAGUGUAGUAUCAGCAAGUAGCUUUAUUGCUUUUGCCUUCUGUCCUAUAAAAGCAUCUGGGCAAAUGUUUUGGUUCUUCCCAGAAUGUCUUUGGGUAGAAAACCAAUAAAAAAACCCAGCUGGACAAUGUCCUACUUGUUCUUUGGAAGAUGCUUAUUCCUUCUAUGAUCAGCAUCAUGGCUAUCCAUGCAUUUUCCCAGGCACACAGAUUUCAUUUGUAGGAAUCACAUUUCAUUUUCUCUUUUUCUCACUUUGCCACUCAUUAUUUUCCAAACCUUUUGGAUUUGUCUUUCACCUUGCCAUGUCCAUUUCUGGGAAGUUCUUUAUCAUCACGUUAACCUUCAAAUGUACAUAACUUAAGCAAGUUUAGUUCCUUCUUCCAGGUUUAACUGGAAGAGCUUACGAAAAGAGAGAAGUCUUGAAAUUAUUGUGAAAAAAAUCUAGUAUAAACAGUAAUUUGCAAAAUUUGAAGUGUCACAAAUUGCAUCAUGCAUGGUAAAGACUAAUGUUCAUAUGCAUCUAUGUCAUGGGUCAUACAUUUUCCCACUUGAAAUUUCCAUAUUCUUUUCACAUGCUUUAUGACUAUAUGAUCACUGAGCACAAGGAAACAUAGCUAAUAUGCUUUUGAAGCAUACUAUUAAAUUAAAAAUUGUCUUCCUGCUAACCCUAAGAAAUGUGAAUUUGUUCACAUCAAACCUCUUAGCACAGCGAUAGAGGAAGGUCUAAUGGUGCUCUAAGAAAACCUUAAGAUCUAUUUUUUAAAAUGAAAUUAAGGUAUGUUAUAAAUUCAAAGAAGAAAAAACAUCAAGCUGCAAUUAACAUUUCGCAAAAGGCUUCUAAUAUCUAACUUCUUCUAAUGUACAGAUAUAUUCAGUUUACAGCAGAAGAGACUGCAUGAGUCAAACUCUCAGUUUUGAAAAGCAGAAAUUUUCUUCUCUGGGUUCAAUAUAGCAGCACUCAUCACUAAUUAUCUCAGGAUUUGUAUACUUGACACAAAACCCUAAGCUCAACUACUUCAGCUGUGACACUAUGGACUUAGAUGUUUGCUAAGUAGUAAUAAAUAACGCAAAUAGGUAAAGUGACAUCCCUUUUAGAAAUAGAAGAAAAUGCAAAAUUGCUAAUGAAAUGUAGGUGGAUAUUCCCAAUCAUAAGCCUUAGCUUUUUCCAAGAUUCAAAGCUGCAGCAACACUCAGAUACACUGAACAGCUCAUGUACCUAAACAAUAAAUUACAGACUGCUGCAAUGUAUUGAAGCAAAUCAGCAAGGGAACAACAGGACCAAACAUAACCUUGUAUUCAAAAUCAAACUUCUCACACUCAAGCCUCGAGGCUUUAAGACUGAUGAGGCGAAUACUGCAAAAGAAAGUGCCUUAGGUUUGUAUUUCAUAUCUCUCUCUUUAGUUCUGCCUGUGAAUGUGCCCCAGCUAUCACAGUUUUAACCAGAUUUCUUCACACUGUACCAAACUAACUCUGGUUGAAACAACACCUUACCUAACUACUGUUUUACAACACAACAGUGCCCAGAAAAAAGGCAUUAAGCAAUCCAAGUGAAGCGAGUGGCACCAUUCUCAGUCAUAUGAUGGAUUUUAAAUACAGCAGCACUAGUCACUACUUUGAAAUCUCCGUAAUCAGUUUGAUUAAAGAUUUCAAAAAGUUGCACGUCUGCUUUAAUUCUUAGUGCUUUCAGUUUUCCCCCUUCCUCAAUUAAAAAGAGAAAAAACAGCUAAAUAUUUCAUCCUGAGGUAGUGCCAUGGUUUAAGCAGACAAAGGGCCAGAAUCAGACUAGCAGUGAGGUUUUGAGAAUAAUUUCUUACAUCAUAAACUUAUUUCCAAAAAUUAAAUCACAAAAGCAUAUUCAAAACAUUUUUGUAUGAAUAUUAUUAUUCAUUUCGACAUAGAAAUUCUUGUUUUCAUUACCUGUUCUUGAAAAGCUGCCCUUUCAGUUUUCAAGAGGCACUACAAAGUGCUGCUACAGCCAAGGACCACACAAAAGGACCCCCCUAAAGAUCCUUUUAAAUCUACUUUGGCUAUAUAGAAAUGUGGCAGUCAAAAAGGAUAAAAGUCCUUGUAUGUGGCAAGAACUACCAUGCCAAGGCUGCCAAGAACAUGGAUGUUAUCAAGAGAUGGUCAGUUAAAGCUUCAUUAACCUCUUCAUGCCUGAAAUGUGUGCUACAUUAGUGCUAUCCUGGGUAAAUUCAAACACAUGAAAAUAAAUAGCAUGAGGCUACAAAAAGCAGAUUAACAAAAGACAAACUACAGUUUCAGCCUGACCCUGAAAGAAGAGGUUGAGGGAGUAGCCAUAAAAUAAGGAAGAACAGAGUGAAGAAUGAUCAAGGUAUUAGCAGAACAUUUGCAGUUAGAAAAGUAUGUUAUCAUCAUGCUUUUAUUUUUCUUAGAAUUCAGAGGUCAGAAGAGAUUAAAAACCCUAAAAGACAAAUAAAACUGCUUUGAUUAUCUUUGUUUAUAACUUUUUGUGCAGUAGGGACAAUAAGCCUCUGAUGGUCUGAGGCUUGCAUCUUCCCCAUUUGAGAAACUCUCCUAGAUUUAAAAAGGACAAAUCUGCCAUACAGCCAGAUCUGGGAUGCAGAGCAGGAUCUGAGCUUUACUGUGUAUGCAAGUUUUCUUGGAGGUAGAAACAAACCUAGAACAUAAAAUAUUUACAGAUGACUCUAAUCCUAGUAAAGAGCAUUCCCAUCAGCAAGUCCGGGAUUUGGUUUCCUGCAAGCAUUUUGCAUUGCUGGUGGUAUCAAAAGCACAUCUCUAUGUGCCUGUAAGAAUUUAAAAUUGGUCUGGGCUGCUUAACAUAAAUCUUUUGUUGCCAUAAAGAAUACCAAGCCAGCACCUAUGCAAAGGCACACAUUUCCAGCACAAGGAAUGGCAUAGAUUAAUUCCAUAUGUAAAGCCCUGUGGUAAAUACUACAGUAGCCAGCCUAUGAUUAUAUCUCUGAGUCUGGCAUUGAGACCCUGCUGAUUCAUGCACCCCUGCAUUCCAUGGAUGCACACUACAUUAGUAACCAUCCACCCCCAAAACCCCAAGGAGCCCUCUUCCUUUAACAAUUGCAGAGAAAAGAACACUAUGCUGAAGACAUAAGUCUCAGGAAAGGAUUUGGAUUCAGUCCAGAUUAUCUGGAACUUGUUCUUACUAAUGUGGAGACCUCUGGAAGAUGUGCUUAUAUCCAACAGGCCCAAUUGAGAAGCCUGGCUUACAUCACAGGUGAGAGGUAAAUGGGUAUGCAUCUAACUUAAAAUAGCCAGCACAAUUUAUUGCAAAGAAGUAACAAUAUUGAAAGAAAUCUAUUUCCCACACUAACAGCAAAUACACAUUUCAAAUUCCACAGCAAAGCCUUCUAAUCCAAAUGUUGAAGAAACUGUUCUCCAGACACAUCUAGUCACAAAGGCAAGGAUGACAAGCAAGAACAUUAGUUAAAACAUUUUUUAUUAUUUAUCCCAUGUUAAUUCAGUACAAUCAACAGAUAAAUUACAAACACUUGAAAGAAAAAGCCCAUUAAAAAGAAUUAAAAUUCAGAUACAUGUGACAAAAAUUAUUGCUUUCAGAAACUACAUUAUCUCAACACUCUUACCACCUAUGCUUUGUCCUACUCUUUCACACAGAAGAGAGACUCACAGUACCACGGGAUUACUUUAUCAGUGCACACCCCAGGCUGAAUACAAACCACAACAGGAGCCAGCAGCAUUUCCGUAUUUAUGACCAAAGCAACACAAGUGCCAACUUGCUGCGCGAUUUCAAAGGGCAUUUCACCAACAUCAGGAUACUCUGUACACAAGUCCCUGCCCCGACUGGCUCAUGCUGUGUCCACACUGACAUUCCCUGCGUUUGUCCUGUGACAACAUUCCCCCUGCCAGAACUCCAGUGCUGGCAGCUGACAUUUUAAAUGCCAUGUAAGACCUCCGGCAGCUCCCUUUGCUGCUGCCAAAGGUAAAGCUACAUUAAUUAAUGCAAGAAAGAGGUCAGCAACUCCCACAGCAGAGUGGCCCUUAAAGCCCCAGAAGGCUGCAGAUGUUCGGGACACAGCACAUUACAAAACAAGGACAAGGUUGAGUGUGGAGAACCACGAAAACAAGCACCAGCUAUGCCUAAAAGCUGCUUUAGAAAGGUCUCAGCACAGCCUGCUCCAAGCCCUGGCAUGAGGAAUGAUGAACAGCACCUCCCUCCCCUCAGAGGACCUAAAGCAGCUAUGAAAUAGCCAGGUCCAGCCCAGUACUCCUCGAAAUACAAAGUUCCUCCCAUCAUCAGUGGAAGAAAAGUUAUCUGAGAGCACAGAGCAAAGCAGAGAGCGGUGUCAAGUGCUGAGAGGACACACCAAUCAAGCAGAAAUGGGGAGAAGGUGACAGUCCCUUUCUGCUUUCCAGCCCUGCCCAGUAAAGAGCGUGGCAGGUCUGCACUGCUGGGCACUGCCAAGGCCAAAGGCAAAUCACACCAAGAUCCUGCUGCAGCCGCUGUCCUGGUACUCCAUGCCAUGGGAUUUGAGACUUUCAAAAGAUGCCUUUUCUUCCCUCUUCUCAGCAAGGGGAUGGGGUGGAGCCCAGGCAGCUGCAAGCUACCUCUUUACAUUCAUUAUCAUGAUACCUUACAAAGAAAAUGUGAAGAAAACAUAUUUCAUCCAGGGGAAGGCCACCUAGGAAGGCGGCUCUGGGAGGAUGGAAUGUUCUCUAUGUGCUAGGGCAUGCUGAGGAUGGGAAACCACUUCCUGCUUGCCCAAAGAGCUGCAAGCAGCAUAAUUAGCACUCACUCGGAAUAUUAAACGUCACCAGAUGUAAUCUGAAGGGUCACUGGGAACCCCUAGUGCAAACCUGAACUAUU
rnacentral:lncRNA from 1 species